UACGGGGGGAGCAAGCGUUGUUCGGAAUUACUGGGCGUAAAGGGCCAGUAGGCGGCCAACUAAGUCCGACGUGAAAUCCCUCGGCUUAACCGGGGAACUGCAUCUGAUACUGGAUGGCUUGAGUACCGGAGAGGAUGGCGGAAUUCCCCAAGUAGAGGUGAAAUUCGUAGAUAUGGGGAGGAACACCGGUGGCGAAGGCGGCCAUCUGGACGGAUACUGACGCUGAGACGCGAAAGCGUGGGGAGCAAACAGG
rnacentral:rRNA from 1 species